AGUGAACGCUGGCGGUAGGCCUAACACAUGCAAGUCGAACGGCAGCACAGUAAGAGCUUGCUCUUACGGGUGGCGAGUGGCGGACGGGUGAGGAAUACAUCGGAAUCUACUUUUUCGUGGGGGAUAACGUAGGGAAACUUACGCUAAUACCGCAUACGACCUACGGGUGAAAGCAGGGGAUCUUCGGACCUUGCGCGAUUGAAUGAGCCGAUGUCGGAUUAGCUAGUUGGCGGGGUAAAGGCCCACCAAGGCGACGAUCCGUAGCUGGUCUGAGAGGAUGAUCAGCCACACUGGAACUGAGACACGGUCCAGACUCCUACGGGAGGCAGCAGUGGGGAAUAUUGGACAAUGGGCGCAAGCCUGAUCCAGCCAUACCGCGUGGAUGAAGAAGGCCCUCGGGUUGUAAAGCCCUUUUGUUGGGAAAGAAAAGCAGCAGGUUAAUACCCCGCUGUUCUGACGGUACCCAAAGAAUAAGCACCGGCUAACUUCGUG
rnacentral:rRNA from 1 species